rnacentral:ncRNA from 1 species
AAUGGCGGGUGCGGGAGUGCGUGCCAGCAAUAUGGAACUGUUUUUAAACGCCGGGGUAGAGGAGCUUCACAGCUCUGCGGGCAAAUGGAUGCCAUCGCCCAUGCGUUAUCGCAACACAGGGUUGUCAAUGUCGACGGAUGCUGAAGCGGAUGAGUACUCACGCUACGGUGUAGAGGGAGCGUCGGUUGCGGUAAUGAAAUCGAUGAUUGAACGUCAUCACGUGUAGCAACGUACCGAUUUUUACCGCGCAUCAUGUCGCCCAAUAUGAUGCUUGCUUGUACCAGGCCCCUGCAAUUUCAACAGGGGCCUUUUUUU